rnacentral:rRNA from 1 species
AGUGAACGCUGGCGGUAGGCCUAACACAUGCAAGUCGAACGGCAGCACAGGAGAGCUUGCUCUCUAGGUGGCGAGUGGCGGACGGGUGAGGAAUACAUCGGAAUCUGCCCAGUCGUGGGGGAUAACGUAGGGAAACUUACGCUAAUACCGCAUACGACCUUCGGGUGAAAGAGGGGGAUCGCAAGACCUCUCGCGAUUGGAUGAGCCGAUGUCGGAUUAGCUAGUUAGCGGGGUAAUGGCCCACCAAGGCGACGAUCCGUAGCUGGUCUGAGAGGAUGAUCAGCCACACUGGAACUGAGACACGGUCCAGACUCCUACGGGAGGCAGCAGUGGGGAAUAGUGGACAAUGGGCGCAAGCCUGAUCCAGCCAUACCGCGUGGGUGAAGAAGGCCUUCGGGUUGUAAAGCCCUUUUGUUGGGAAAGAAAUCUUUCAGGCUAAUACCCUGGGAGGAUGACGGUACCCAAAGAAUAAGCACCGGCUAACUUCGUG